AGGAUGAAANCUCAAAGGAAUUGACGGGGACCCGCACAAGCGGUGGAGCAUGUUCUUUAAUUCGAUGCAACACGAAGAACCUUACCUGGGAUUGACAUCCCGUGGAACCGCUAUGAAAGUAGCGAGUGCUCACUUGUGAGAACCACGUGACAGGUACUGCAUGGCUGUCGUCAGUUCGUGUCGUAAGAUGUUGGGUUAAGUCCCGUAACGAGCGCAACCCUUUCCUUAGUUGCCAGCACGUUAUGGUGGGGACUCUAAGGAUACCGCCUGGGACAACCAGGAGGAAGGUGGGGAUGAUGUCAAGUCAGUAUGUCCCUUAUGUCCAGGGCUACACACGUGUUACAAUGGCAAGUACAAUGGGUCGCCAACCCGCGAGGGGGAGCUAAUCCCAAAAAACUUGCCUCAGUUCAGAUUGGAGUCUGCAACUCGACUCUAUGAAGGAGGAAUCGCUAGUAAUCGUGGAUCAGCACGCCACGGUGAAUACGUUCCCGGGUCUUGUACACACCGCCCGUCACG
rnacentral:rRNA from 1 species